rnacentral:lncRNA from 1 species
UUUCGGGAUGUCACCUUCAGCGACGGCUUCAUCAAGCUGAUCGAGGUGGAGCAUCGAAGGAGACUGGUUGCUACUGUAAGACCGGCGAUGCUCGACUCUGUGUUGGAGAUAGAAAACGGAAUGGGUGCCUGCACCACAGAAUCCUACACGCCUUAUGGUUGGACUACUGUCACAUGGAACAGAAAGCUCUCCUCGGAUCGUUGGAGGCAGGACUGCACGGCCUAUAUCAGC